UACAGAGGUCUCGAGCGUUAGGCGGAAUCAUUGGGCGUAAAGCGGAUGUAGGUGGCUUUGUAAGUCAGGUGUGAAAGCCCCGGGCUCAACCCGGGAAGUGCAUUUGAUACUGCGAAGCUUGAAUGUUGGAGAGGCUACUAGAAUACCUGGUGUAGUGGUGAAAUACGUAGAUAUCAGGUGGAAUACCGGAGGCGAAGGCGGGUAGCCAGCCAAACAUUGACACUCAGAUCCGAAAGUGUGGGGAUCAAACAGG
rnacentral:rRNA from 1 species